AGUACCAAUGUUACUGCAGUCAGGAAA
rnacentral:sRNA from 1 species